rnacentral:rRNA from 1 species
GCUUGUCUCAAAGAUUAAGCCAUGCAUGUCUAAGUAUAAACAACUUUAUACUGUGAAACUGCGUACAGCUCAUUAUAUCAGUUAUAAUUUAUUUGAUGGUGAUUUACUACAUGGAUAACCGUGGUAAUUCUAGAGCUAAUACAUGCGUAAGAUCCUGACUAACGAAGGGACGUAUUUAUUAGAUACAACCGACCCGGGCAACCGGUCCUUUGGUGAUUCAUGAUAACUUUGCGAAUCGCAUAGCUUUAAUGCUGGCGAUGGGUCAUUCAAAUUUCUGCCCUAUCAACUUUCGACGGUAGGAUAGAGGCCUACUGUGGUGAUAACGGGUAACGAAGAAUAAGGGUUCGAUUUCGGAGAGGGAGCCUGAGAAACGGCUACCACAUCCAAGGAAGGCAGCAGG